rnacentral:rRNA from 1 species
CAAAAACAUCGCCUCUUGAAUCUAAUAAGAGGUCCAGCCUGCCCAGUGAAAUUAUUCAACGGCCGCGGUAUCCUAACCGUGCGAAGGUAGCGUAAUCACUUGUUCUUUAAAUGAGGACUAGUAUGAAUGGCACCACGAGGGUUCUACUGUCUCCUUUUUAAAAUCAGUGAAACUAAUCUUCCCGUGAAGAAGCGGGAAUUUUUUUAUAAGACGAGAAGACCCUAUGGAGCUUUAAACAAAUGACAUUUGCUUCAUCCAACACUUUUACCUGCAAUAAACAUAGCAUUAUGGUCCUUAGUUUUCGAUUGGGGUGAUCACGGAGUAAAAUUCAACCUCCGCGCCGAAAGGGUUCAUACCCUAAGCAAAAAGCUACAGCUUUAAGCACUAAAAAAUUAACGUAGUUUGACCCAAUACUUUGAUCAACGAACCAAGUUACCCUAGGGAUAACAGCGCAAUCCACUUCAAGAGCUCCUAUCGACAAGUGGGUUUACGACCUCGAUGUUGGAUCAGGGUAUCCUAGUGGUGCAGCCGCUACUAAUG